rnacentral:rRNA from 1 species
UAACACGUGCAAGUCGAACGCGACUUAGACUUCGGUCUAGGUUGAGUGGCGAACGGGUGAGUAACACGUGGGUGACCUACCUUCGAGUGGGGGAUAACGUCCAGAAAGGGACGCUAAUACCGCAUAACAUCCUGCCUUUGAACAGGUGGAGAUCAAAGCCGGGGAUCGCAAGACCUGGCGCUUGAUGAGGGGCCCGCGCCUGAUUAGCUAGUUGGUGGGGUAAUGGCUCACCAAGGCGACGAUCAGCAUCCGGCCUGAGAGGGCGGACGGACACACUGGGACUGAGACACGGACCACACUCCUACGGGAGGCAGCAGUGGGGAAUUGUUCGCAAUGGGCGCAAGCCUGACGACGCAACGCCGCGUGGAGGAUGAAGGUCUUCGGAUUGUAAACUCCUGUUGCUCGGGACGAAAGGCUUCGACCUAAUACGUCGAAGUCUGACGGUGCCGAGUGAGGAAGCCCCGGCUAACUCUGUGCCAGCAG